UUUUAAAGAAAAGGAACAGAGUGAAAAAUGAUUGAUGCAUCAAAGUGAAGUUUCCUUUUCCAAACAUGUGUCCGCUGCUUAUUGCUGUUGAGUUCCCCUCUGCUCCCACAGAAGACAAGGAGAAGGAAUGUCACAGGGGCUUGAGUAUCCCUCUAGGGAAGAGUGGCUGGAACACCUAAUGUGAAAGUUUGGGGAAUCUUUGGCUGCUGAGGUUUGGAGAUUGGGAGAUUGUGUUUUUGUGGUUUUUCUUGUGGAAAUAAGAGCUCAGAGGGAUGAUGAUAUAACAUUGGAGAAAGGAUGUUGGAACCUCACCCACCUGUGUUUGCCUUCCCAUGCAACUGGAGCAGUGGAAGUUAGAAAGUAGGGUAUGAAAAACGACUGGAAGCAGAGAUCCUCUCCCACAGAGGGGUAGAAUUGGAAGACGCACUCAGAAAGCCUUACGGCCAACCUCCUCAGUUUUCAUACAGGCAAACUAAAUAUUACAGAUGGGAAAAUGGACCUUAGAGAUGACUGAACUCAAAGUCUUCAUUCUACUAAGGAGAAGAUGGGCCUGAGGUGCUCACUCUGAUGGAAGCCAGCUGCUAUGCUGUGUGUUGCUCUAUGGAGAGACUCAGGUAGAAGGAAUUGAAGGAGGCUUUCGGCCAACAGUCAGCAAGGUACUGAGGCUUUCAGUCCAAGAGCCUAUAAGGAACUGAAUCCUACCAGCAACCAAGCAAGUGGCUUGAAAAUGGACCCUCUCUCAGCUGAGUCUUUGAAUAAGAUCACAGCUCUUAUUCAAUAUGACACCUUGAUUGUAGUCUUGUUAGAGAUCUUGAGCCAGUGGCACCCAGCUAAGCUGUACCUGUAUUCCUGACCCAUAA
rnacentral:lncRNA from 1 species